UAUGAUUUCUAUAUUGCAUGAAAAAUGAAAGUCAUCAUCUUUAUACGUACAACAAUUCUAUACAAAAAUCAUCCUCCUGCCAUAGCAAGAGAGAAGCUUGCCCAAUAAAAGGAUCUCUUCAAUCAGCUUGCUCCAAUAUUUCUAUUACAAUCAAUCUUUGGCAAUGAGAGGUGCCUGAAAUUGCAAACGUACCAAACAUCCUUCAAGCUCUCCUGCGAUCCAAUUGAAAAAAACCAGGUUAGAAAAUUCUAGUCUGAAUCAAACAAAAAGGGCUAAGAAGGGGGAUGAGAACACACAGUUGAUCAACUUACCUCUUGCAUUUUAUAACACCAGCUGCACUUACUCUAUCAGAUUCAAGGGCAGAAGCACUCAAAGGCAACUAAUUUAGCCCAAGAAGGUAACAGUGACACCAAAAGAGUUCUGCAACUUUCCAAUGUUUUGACCAGACAUCCCAAUCAAUCAACAUGUCCGCAAUCAUUGGAUCCAACUUUUGAUGCAUUAAGGCUGCUGUAAUUUUUCAGUUAUGUAGAACAAGACUCCAUUAAUUCAUCUAAAUAGCAGGCAUUAAACAAAAGAAUUACCCAACAUGGUCAUUAAUUCAUCUAAAUAGCAGUAUCAAAAGUUACAUCCAACAAAAUAUAUGGGAUAAAAUUUUGAAGUGAUUGAUAGAAGGAAAGGCCUUACAAUGGAUUCAGUUAUCCAUAAUUCUAACUCAUACUCAUGUUUAUUAAAUUAGUAAAUAAGUUUAGUGCUAUAAUAAGACUCAAUUGACAUGAUUGAAUGAAAGAUAAUGAAACUCUUUGGGCAGCAACAGUAUUUCCAGGUUGAGUUAUCAAGUUCAAUUGCAUAAAUAUCACAAUGAACAUGAAAUCCAAUCAUCUUAUCAAAACAUGAUUGAUAUCCUAUGAGGGAAUACCUUCCUCAGAGUUUAUUGCCCACAAAGCAAAAUUGAUCCUCAAACUAGAAAAUAAUAAAAAAUACACGAUCAAGACAUCAUUCAUUAACACAGAAUAAAUGUUGCAAAAAAUGUGAGACAACCCCCAAACUAUCCAACUCAAUGGAUUUCAUUUUGUUUAUCUUUACAUGCCUUUCUUAUCUUUACAUGCGUUUGCAGGGCCAUUACAUCUACAAAACAAAUCAUAGGUCAAAGAUUGAUAGUACUCAUAAGAAAACCAACAAACAACCACCACAAAGUAAGAUAGUACCAAUCAGGUAGGAAGAAUUAAGCAUGCCUCCAAAGAUUUCAUUAAGAGGCACAAAAGUUGGGGCAUGCUUAACAACCCGAGUUAUUGGUCGAGCAAAUUGUUUGUUCAGGACAUUGAUGUCUAAACAGUGAGAAUAAGCACAAAAUUUAGAUGAAAAUGAGUUAUUGAUAGACAUCAAAUCCUACAUGCAUUCAUAAUUGAAAAACCUUAUAAAGAUGGAACUGAUCAAGUAGUCUAUGGAAGAGCUGGGCAUAAAUUUAUUAGCAUCUGAUGUAGCAAAGAAUGACCAGUUAAAAAAUCCUUUCAAAUUUUUUUACCAAAGACUUUCUUAACACAAAAACAUGAAUUUGUCCUUCCUGAUAUGAAAUGAAUAUAAUCAAGUUGUAAUUUGUUUAAGAAAGGAAAUGUAUAAAUAAAAAAGAAAUAGAAAGCCUAUAAAACUGGAAUACACAUAUUAUACAGAAAAGCAGACCAGAACAAACAGAGAGAGCAAAAUUUCUCCAUUGCAAAUAAUCAAACAACAGACAUACCAUAAGCCAGAUCUGUAAGCCAGUGCCUAGCUAGAAUUCAUCUUUCACAAUAUCCCUUUCUUUUUGAUCAUUUGAACAAUAAUCUCAUCGUGUCCCUAACGCCAUUGGAUCCAAUAGCCUGAAACACAACAUCACUAACAAUAAAAGCAGUGCCAUUUUCUAACAAACUAACAACACCAAAACACAAUCCCAUCAUAUUACAAACAUGGCUAUAUAUAUGUAAACACAUGUCUUUUAUUAGCUCUUAAAUGAAAGGAACUUUAAAAAUUGACUUGAGGUGUGGUUGACAUUCAAUAUAGAAGCUGAUAUCUCCGUCUCUUUAUAGUUAAUGUUUGUACCAUAGCAACCAUCAACACUCACCUAUUAUGGACAUUAUCAUGCAUUGAACCUGAAGAACUGGUUGUUGAAAAAUCUGGUUAGAAAAAUGAGCCAGAAUCAAAACAAAAGAGAUAUGUAGGAUUAGAAGUUAGAACACGCUAUUGGGGAGAGAAUUCCUUGAUGUCUCAUUCAAUGAUACCAAAAGUCCAAACACACAUAAACACAGCGUAUACCACACACAUAUUUAAUUUGCAGCUUCAUAAUCCUUUGCAACCUUUCGUGAAAGAACUGGGAAGUGGAAAAAGUCC
rnacentral:lncRNA from 1 species